GGCACUGAACCCAUAAACAACAAGACACAGCUUCUUCCUUCAAAGAGGAGUACAGUGAGUACACAGGGACAGUGUGACCUACUAAGAAAAGGUGUGGACUUCGGAGUCAUAGUCCAAAGUCUUAAUCCUGUUUGCUGCCAAACACCUCUCUGAGCUCUGCUUUUUCACCUGGAAAAUCAAGAUGCCAGAGACAGAGGAAUCCACCUGAAAUGCAGAUGUGAUCCUGGGACCUUCUCUCUGUCUGCCCACUGCCCACUCCCAAGAGGAAACUUCUGUUUCUCAGCCUUGCUUUCAGGGCCCUCUGAGACCUGGUCUUCCACCUUCUUGGCCCGGAAAACCCAAAACCAAACCACAUAAUGAGUCUUGUGAGCAAGCCACUACCUCUGAGCAUUAGACCCUGUACUUCAAACAACACAGCAGACGUGGGAAGAGUCCUUUGAUUUGUAAUGCUGAGGCAUGUUCUGUACCCUAGCUGGAAUGAGGCUGAGAAAGCAAGGAUACGGCAAUCUAGAAUUUGAGAGUGGGAAGUGGGCUCUGGCCUCUCACAGGGCAGGAAUUCCCUAGAUGCAGAAAGACACUCAGAGAGUUGGCGUCCGAUGAAGUCCACUGCAGAACUGUUACAGGAGCUUCAACCAACUCAGCCACCCACGUGGAUGACACUCCCUGGGGAAAAGAGGAGAACUUGAACAAAGCUCAAAGGGGGUGCCCAACUAACUCUGCAACACUUGGGGAUUUAGGCAAAAGUGAAAGUUCUCCGUUUCAGCUGGCAGCAGACUGCUGCUCGGUGGGUCUCCUGUUCAGCGGGGCAGGGAGCCCUACGGGAAGUCCUCCAGCUGGCGUCUGUGUGAGAGCUUGGCUCAAGUGGCACCGAGUGUCUCACCUCUGUUCAUGGAAAGGCUACUGCGGAGCUGUCGCUACAAGCAGGAUUCUGCUGUUGGCAAAGCAGGGACAGCGGCUCACCCAGCCCUGAAGGGAGUAAUAACCGAAACAGAGUCCCUGGCGCACAGAAGAUGUCUCUCGGGGAGUUUAAGGAUGAGCAGAAAAGGGAAAAUUGACACGAGACUAGAAUUCCUUAAAAUGAAGUGGGAGCUUGAAACUAGCAAGACUGGGAUAUUAGUGUUAAAAUCCAACAUGUCAGAAACACAUGGAUCACAUAUGCAACUGCAGAAACAUCUGGCAUCUUACUUCUGGGACCAGAGCUCUUAGGAAAAGGAAGAAAGAGCGCUCUGGCUAAGUGGUUUCCUUUUUCCUCCUACAGAGCACGUGAGGCAGCCUUCCUAGAAUGCUCUGCCUACAUCCUCAGGUUUGUCAAGUUGUUUUCUUCUAGACGUCCAAAUCUCAGCAAUCAAGACACAUGUUGAGAGGGGUCUGCUUCGAUGCCUCAGUGGAUAACUGCUGCGCCUUCCCCUGCCCCAGCGACUCUGAUCAUAUGACUCAUUCUAUUGUCUUCAAAGAAUAUAAACCUAGAUAAAUUCUUAACACUUAUUUCUUGUUACGUUUAUUGUCCAUCCCCACGUAAACAUUUACCAAACGUGGACUCCAUGAGAAGAGUGGUUCUUGAUAACUUAUGUUGUUCCUGAUAAAUUCGUAGAGGCUUAGAACAAUAACUGGAGCGUACAGAAGGUGGGCAACAAAGCCCUGUCAAAUGAAGAGGAGGGUGGGCUCCUCAGAGUUAAGGCUAUUCAGUAUCACACAAACAUUAAAACUGCAGGUCUGUCUUUAUUUCAAUUCAAACAACUGUCUCUCAUUAUUAAAAAAUCUCUGUAUAAAAUCCUCUACACCUUUUCUGCCUAGGAUAUUCCUCUUCCCAACUGCACCCCCUCCCCCAAUUCCUAUCCAGACACAUACUCUACCUGCUUAAUUCCUUCCCAAUCCUUCUGGUCCAUCCAAUCUUUCACAAAGGAUGAGAGAAGCCAGGGCUCAGAACCAACAUAAACAGCAAAUGAGAACAGGAGGGCAUCUGAGGACAGGAGAGGCACAGGAGAACGUCAGUCUACCAAGACAGAUCACCCAGGAGCCAAACCCAGGAUGCGUGAAUUAUACUACAGCUGGGUACUGUGCUAAGCACUUACCAAACAAGAUCGAUUUUUUUUUUUCAAAACAACCCUAUGAGGAAGGACUAUUGUCAUCACAUAUUACAGAUGAAAAAAAGCUAGAAGUAAUCCAAACAAAAGACCAUGGAUAACCCAGAUAAUUUAAGC
ensembl:lncRNA